rnacentral:rRNA from 1 species
UACGAAGGGUGCAAGCGUUACUCGGAAUUACUGGGCGUAAAGCGUGCGUAGGUGGUUCGUUAAGUCUGAUGUGAAAGCCCUGGCUCAACCUGGGAAUGGCAUUGGAAACUGGCGACCUAGAGUGCGGUAGAGGGUAGUGGAAUUCCCGGUGUAGCAGUGAAAUGCGUAGAGAUCGGGAGGAACAUCCGUGGCGAAGGCGACUACCUGGACCAGCACUGACACUGAGGCACGAAAGCGUGGGGAGCAAACAGG